CAUGGAUUACCACUUUUUGGUAUCAGUUGGUCACAAUUCAAGGCAUUUAUUAACAUUUGUUUGACAGGAGUGUUUGGUUUGGUAAUUUGUUGACAGUCCCUA